rnacentral:lncRNA from 1 species
UUUGAUUGGGUGGCGUCUGAAGGGAUAUUCCGAAGAGGAGAGAAAUAGAUAAAGAAGGAUACAAAAAAAUUAGGGGAAUAUGAGAGAGAAGCAAUAGCAAUAAGGGAAAGUAGUGGUUAUAGAAGAGUAAAAUGGUCAUUUAAUUUUUUUUUUAUUAGCUCUGUUGCCCAACAAGCACUGAUAUGAGAGGUAAUUAAUUAAGUCUAGAACCUAGAGGAGGGAUGUGUAUAUGUCAUAAACCUCAAGGGAGGUAAUUGUAAUUUAACCUCUUCCAAAAUCUUUAUUUCUUUAAUUAAUGAUUUUUUUUUGGGUUCAAAGAAAUGCUGCUUUUUAUUCCUUAAUUAAUUGUCUCAGUGUUGUUUGUUUUACUUGUCAAUUUGCUUAUCUGACUAACAAUGUUUGUUUUAUUUGCCGGCAUCACUUGAUAAAGGCUAUCAAAAAAUUGAUUAAGAAGAUCAGUGGAUAUGGAGGCUAUUAAUGUUUUCUUCAUGUAAAGUGUUCUUCUUUUUUGCUGGUUCUCAAUUUGUUUAUGGGAAAUGCUAUGGGUACACCCAACUUGCAUCCUAAAUGCACACCUGAUGAGAUGGAGUAUUUAGAUUGGCUGAAAGGACUGGGUGGACCCCACACCCAACCAAUCCAAAUGUUCCACUUCAUCAGGGGUGCGUUUGGGGUGCAAGUUGGGUAUACCCAUAACAUUACCCAUUUGUUUAUACAAAAUCACUUUUCUUGUAGUAGAGGUCACUGUCUUUAUUGUUUGUCAUGGAGGUUCAAUCAAGUAAUGACUUGUGUGAAAUUUGUAAACUUGAGAAAAAAAUUAUAGUAUUUCUUUUCGAGGAAGGAACGGUUACAGUACACAUCCC